UUUGACAUUGUGGUCCAAGAAAAAGAAUAUGAAAUAGUAUAGAAAAGUAGUGGUCCCCUUGUUUGUCUCGUUGUUUCCCACUAUGUCUGACUGUUUCCCUAGUGGGCAUUUUAGUUUAUUCCACUGUAACUGUUUACUAAUUAGGGAUUGUGAUAAUUUUUUAUUUCCCCCAUUACGUACAGGAGUUUAAUUCUUGUGCUUCUUAGGUAA
rnacentral:lncRNA from 1 species